rnacentral:pre_miRNA from 1 species
UUCUAUCUCAGAGGAGUGACACUAAGAACACAAGAUUGAUUGGUUGAAAACAAAAAUUGAUUCUUUUGUUACUAAUUUGUUUUGUGUUCUCAGGUCACCCCUUUGAGUUAAUC